rnacentral:rRNA from 1 species
GACGAACGCUGGCGGCGUGCUUAACACAUGCAAGUCGAACGGAAAGGCCCUGCUCUUGUGCGGCGCUCGAGUGCCGAACGGGUGAGUAACACGUGAGUAACAUGCCCCUGUCUUACGGAUAACUUCAGGAAACUGCGGCUAUUACCGGAUAGGAGCUCCUGCUGCAUGGUGGGGGAUGGAAAGUUUCGGCUGUUGGGGAUGGACUAGCGGCUUAUGAGCUUGUUGGUGGGGUAGGGGCUUACCAAGGCUUUGAGGGGUAGGCGGCCUGGGAGGGCGACCGGGCACAAUAGUACUGAGAUAGGGCGCAGACGCGAAUGGGAGGCAGCGGGGGAGAGUAUUACAGAACGGGCGGAAGCGAGAGGUAGCAACGCCGCGUGCGGGAUGACGUCCUUCGGGUUGUAAACCGCUGUGGACUGUGACGAAGCGUUAGUGACGGUACUGGGUAAAGAAGCACCGGCUAACUACGUG